CACACACACACACACACACACACAAUGUUGCAUCUAUGGACAUACAAUAAUCCCCCCAAUCGACGUAAAUGGACAGUGCCUAGAGACAUCACAAAAACAUACACUUGGUGAGUCGUGGUUUUGUAGUUAGCGAUGACACAACGUGCCAAUGUCUUUGAUACCCAUCGCGUUUCGUACGCUCGUGUGUGUUUGUGUUUCGUUUUUUGCCAAGAGCAGGAGCAGCGCCUAAAGGAAGCUGCUUGUGAUAAGAAAAGAGCUAGACACACUUUGAAGUGCAAACACCCGUUUGUUACUUCUCCAGGAGCGCGAGUGUCUGUUUAAUGAACACGAAACCCCAGACCAGUAAGUAAUUGAGCGUGGGCACCAGCGAAUGCAUUCCUCCGCACCCAUGCCCACUCCUGCUCUCCCCAGCUCUGCAGAGAAACUUCCAACACUGGCAUUCACAGAUACUUAGCUCAAGCCUACUCCGAGCCCCUCUUCCGGCAACCGCUAGUUUAUUUCCUCGCCUUACGAGUAUACUAAUCUAAAGUAGAGGCAAUUGUCCUUGGCUUUCCUGAGAAGCUGAGCAGACUGAAGGGAAGGAAGGAAAGACCUAUUGCAGCCAGAGCCUUUCUCUCUGAAACUGGAGCUCCCCCAGCCUUGGAAACACAGAAGUGGCUUCAGGCUACAUGAUGCUGUAGCAAGAACCCUGCCAUUGGAACUAAGGAGAUCCGAGCUCAGCUCAAGCUCUGGCUGCUCUCCUGCUACUUAGUAUAGCCGUGACCUUGGAUCAGUCACAACUCCCCGGCCUUUAGCGCCAAAAUGAUGGAAUUGGGCUAUAUGAAUUCUAGAGUCCCUUCAAGUUUGCAAUCCUCUGAUCUCUCCAACAAUCAGCUCAGGGCUUGGCUGUCACUCGUGUAGUGUAGCUCCGAAGAAGCCUGCUGACUUGGCUGACGCUUUGGUUUUCCCAAAUUCAGCGAAAGGGGAGCUCUAACAUGCCAGGGCUCUAAUAAGAUCGUAUUCACUUCAAUUAUCUGGGUGGAGGGCUGUGGGGAGAAAAGCAAGGUAGUCCUAGUCUACCAAUGAUUUGUAAUUCUUUCUUUAAUUUCUGGUGCAUUUGGAGAACAUACAUAUAAAGUGUAAAAGUUAAUAAAUUUAUCCUUCCUGUCA